CCUCUUCAACUUCGGCAUCUGCAAGGGGGGUCGGCGGCACGGCUCCGGGACGAACCCCAGGGUGAGACCUGUGUUCCGACUCCCUCUGGAGCUAAUGGUGUCCAGUAGCCUAAGAAGCAAAUCCAUCCUGCACGCAGGGACUCCGACAGAAGCAUUUCCAUACUGCUUAGGGGAAAACUCUAUCGGAAAGGUUCCUGCUUUUUAUCUUAUAUCUUACCAAUAAUAAAACGAUAAAUUAUGCAAUGAUGUAAGGAGAACUGGAGGGGCUUCCCACCAUACUGUACAUAGCUGGUGCCCCCUGUGGCAGAACACUGGAGCAGUCACUGACAGAACAGGGACGCGGAGGACUUCAGACUUGGGGGCAGCUGAAACAUAUCUGGAAACUAUAAUCA